rnacentral:lncRNA from 1 species
AUGGCUAUGAUGAUGCUGGGGAGGUUUCUGACCCUGGGGAGGAUCCUGUCCCUGGGCAGGGGGACUGGGAAGUGCCCAGGACACCAGAGGAAGGAGAUGGGCACAGGGAUGCAGCCACAGGGGGAAGCCUGCACUCCCGGAGAAGUGCUGUGGUCCAUGGAGCUGAGGGAGACACCUCGUCACCUUUCCUGGGGACCACGGGCUAUGACGAUGUUGAAGAGGUGUCUCAGGCAUAUCCCCAUGAGGACACCGAGGGUGUGACAGCACAGCCCCAUGCACAAGAAUUCCAGAGCUCCAGGCCAGCAGAGCCCAGCUCUGCUGAGCAGCUGGGUGCAGCCGGGAGGGAGGAGAGCUCAGUGCCACUGGGAGAGCCGUGAGUGCCAGGGAAUGGUGUCCCUUUUCCAGCAGUCAGCAGACACACAUGGGUAUUUCCCCUCUUGGUAUUCCCCUGUUUUUAUGCUGUGUGUUGGUAUUUCCUCAUAUUAAAACCCUCUUCCAGUCU